GGAUGUGUCCGGCUCCAUGGCUCCCUGCCUGGGGGAGCUGAAGACCAAGCUGCGCCUCUCAUCUGGGAACAGCUGCAUCACAACACAGUCAGGUUCUCUCUGCUGGCGUUCUCUGAGGGAGUGAAGGUGUGGCGUCGGCACUGCAGGAGCCUACAGAGGAGGCAUGCCGCGACGCGGUGCAGUGGGCAUAUCAGCUCAACACCCAUGGGGGAACCAACACUCUGGAGGCCCUGCAGGUGACGGGUUUAACCUCACUAGGACUGGCUGUAGGUUUGGGGACAGUGUGGGCCUGUACCUGCUGAGUGAUGGGAAGCCAGAUUCCAGCUGCAGCCUGGUGCUGAAAGAGACGGAGAGACUGACCACAGGGAACCACAUUACUAUUCACACUGUCUCAUUCAACUGCACAGACAGCUCAGCCAAUGACUUUCUGAAGAAACUGGCCCACCAAACUGGGGGUCGGUACCACCGUUGUCAUGACAAUGUGGAUGCACUCAGUGGGCUGUUGGAAUCGGGCCUUAGGGAUGGAGAUGGGUACGAAGGAUGAGUACACAGUAGAGACAGAUAUUCAAGUUUGAGGGACCUAUUGUGAACUGAUUCCAACAGGAACCUACCCUGCCGGCCCUUGAGGGAGAUGAUUUGAGGAGACUGGCUCAGGAAAUUGACAAACUGAGACAUUUCCGGAAGCAGGCACAGGUCUUCAGGGAAAUCAUUUUGGAAAAGAAGAAUCCAGAGGAAACAACAAGAAUCAACCAAACAGACUAGAUUACUGUAAACCCAAGAAUUUGACUUCAAUGAUUUUAUAUACACAUUUGUAAUUCAGAUUUUCARUGACUAAAUAUAUGAAGAAAGUAGUUGUUAAGAGAUUAAAACUGGUGUGCAUGAAUUUUGUCGGAUUAACCAUAUACUGUACACAGUUCUAUUUGACCUAAUUUGGGUGUGCAGUAUGCUUUGUUCAGAUUGACAAACCUCUGCUUUUCUUAAUUUAAAACUAGAAUGCUUAGUUGCUACAUUUUUUUUUAUUAUAAAUUAUUUCUAUAUGUACCCAUUGAUUCUUGAAGAAUAUAAUUUAUA